rnacentral:lncRNA from 10 species
CUUCCCUUCUGGGAGACAAGGGCACCAGAGGCCUUCCUUGCUUUUUAACAAUGCGCAUCUAUUUUGUGAGGCUUAAAAGGGCGUUUUGUCCAUGGGAGAUGCUAAAAAUAUUCUUGUAGGAAGAAAGGAAAAGGGGGAAAGGGAAGAUGUGAUAAAAGGAAGAAGAGAAAAAGGGAUAAUUCAAAGUACUGAAAUAAAAAUUUUGGUUAGCUCAAAAAAGAAGUAAAAUACAGUAUCUAGAGAGCAACAGCACAAAAGAGAAAACAAGCAAAUAUUCCUGGAUGUUUCUUUCUCACCGUAUCACCCUGAGUACGUUAUUUAACCACUCUGAGUCCCAGUUUCCUCAUCUGUAAAACGAGUCUCUCUACAGGAAUUUUGUGAGGAUCAACAAACAAAAAAGCUUCUGCUGAUUCGUGAGGAUGCUAAUGUCAAACACCAUGCACACUCACCACAGCCUAAAACCUUUUCUAAGAGCUUCACAGGUAUGAUCUCAUCUAGUCUUCCAAACAAAACUGUGAAGGAAGUUCCUUCCUCAUUUGAAAGAGAAGACUGAGGCACAGACCCUCAGCUAAACCAACAGGUGGCAUGCUUGGAUUUGAACCUUGCUAGUUGCUCUUGCUCCUUAGUCUGUGUUAAGUACCUCCCUUCCUCACCAUCCUAUGUUGCAGUAGCUCCUCUUUCUUUUCUUCUUCUUUUUUUUUUUUUUUUUUUUGACUGAGUCUUGCUCUGUCGCCCAGGCUGGAGUGCAGUGGUGCCAUGUAGACUCACUGCAACCUCCACCUCCAGGGUUCAAUUGAUUCUCAUGCCUCAGCCUCCUGAGUAGCUGGGAUUACAGGUGCAGGCCACCAUGCUUUCAUAUAAAUUUUAGAAGCAGUUUGUUAAUUUAUAUAUUAAAAAAUUUGAAAUUUUGAUAGAAAUUAUAUUCAAUCUAUAGGUCAAUUUUGGGGGAAGUGGAUAUCAUAAUAACAUUAAAGUCUUCCAAUGCAUGAACAUGGUGUAGCUGUCCAUUUAAAUUAGGUCUUUAAUUUCUUCAGUGACUUUUCAUAGUUUUCAGUGUACAGGUUUUUUGACCUCUUUUGUCAAAUAUUUCAUGUUUUGGAUGCCACUGGAAAUCCAUUUUGAAAAUUUUGACUUCUAAUUUUUUUGUUGCUAGAAGAUAGGACGUGCAGGCAGAUAAGCAUAAAGGACUGACAUUUUUAAUGUUUGAAAUAACUGACUGCAGAGGCUCUAGAGCAUGCAUUCUCAAUGGGAAAAAUAUUGUUCCCAAGGGGAUGGAAAAAUCUUACUCUUUUAAUGUCUAAAUCAUAGAUAUACAUUUACGUAAGCCAAUGCAUAAAAGUGUAUACAUUAUAUCUGCCAUAUUAAAAUCUUAUGCAAUGGAGUAAUUAUAAAAAAAUGUUUAAAAUACUCCUUAGGGGAGCAAUAAUUUAAAAACCAUUGGGAAACACUGGUUGUUCAUAGCUCUUGGGAUAUAUGAUACUAAAAGAAUACAAGUACUUUGAGUAUUUGGGUACUUAAUCUCUGUAAAUUUCUUAUACAUUGAUCACAUUCAGGCUUAGUAAAUAGAUUUAAAUAAGACCUAAGUCAAGACCACAUGAUUCCCAGAAAAAUUAGUUAAUACAAAUUAUAAACAAAUUUUAAAUGUUGAGCAGCAAGAAUUUUAGGUCAGUGAAUGCUGGAUUUUGUCAUAUUCCUUUAAAGAGUGUUGGACUGUGUUCUUCCUGCAGUUACAUUACUUGCAGAUCAGACUGAUCCUUUUGAGGCUUGCUUUUCAGGCUUAUAAGGGUAGAUCCAGAGCAGCCCUUACUCUAAGGCUAACAGUCUCACUACUAAGGUGUGGCCCUUCUAAGGACUCUCCCUAUCCAAUGCCCUGUGUAUUGUGAGGUCUCUUAUAAUUGAUGGGAUUGCAAACUCUCCCCAGCCCUGUGAGAACUCCGGGAAUUGUUCAACCUAUUGCUUCUCAGUGGUUCUUUCUCUGGUGUUGUGGAUUUUCCUUCCAUGCAUGCUCAGAUCACAAUUUGGCCAAAGACGCCAGGGGACUCCUCUGUUCUCUUAAGCCCUCACUCCAUGUAGCUACCACUGCUCCAGGCAUCCACCCAGCCAAUUCUAGGUGCUUCUGCUUUCUCAAGUUCUGAUCUCUACUCCUCACUAGGUAAGACUGCUGGGAAUUAUUGGGUUUUCCUCCUUGCACUGUAACCUAGAAACGGCUGCCAGGUAGGAAGCUGGUACAAGUGCAGGGCUCACUUCAUUUGUCUUUGUUCUCACUGGAGUCAUAGUCUUGUGCUGCCUGUGGUUCAACGUCUGAAAACAGUUGUUUAAUAGAUUUUGUUUUCCAAUUUUCUAAUGAUUUAUGGUCGGAGGGCAAUUGCCAGCUUUGAUAGAACCAAGGAAAUAUGAGCUCAGAGGAAAAGAUAAUGACACAUUUGAAGAGCACAAAUACCAUAAAGAAACACAAUACACUGAACAAAUUAUACCAGGCAAAUAAGAAUUAAUUGACCAAAAAGAGAAAACAAUUAAAAUAGCUUUUACAUAGCUUCAAGUAGCCAAGAAAGGAUAUUCAACAUGAAGGUAGAAUAAUAAUUUGAGAAGAACCAACUGAAGUUAUUGGGUUUGAGAAAAACAAUUUGGUUCCUUCUGAAAGUAUUGCAGACCAGAUAUGCUGAAAAGCUCCCCAUGGAAAGCAUCUGGAUGCUGGAUAUAUUUUUAAAUGUUUUAAAAUACAAUACUGAAUCCAUAAGUGAGUAAGUCUAGCCUAUACUUUCUGCCUCCCUCAACAAAUAGAGAGUUGAAACAAGUAUAGUCAAUGAAGCUGGAAAUGAAGGCUGCCCUCAUUAGGAUGUAAUCUCUGUGAGGCAGGGAUUUCUGAUUAUUUUAUUUCCUGAUAAAGCACAGCCCCUGGAGCAAAGCCUGGGACAGAGUAAGUGCUGAGUACAUAUAUGUCAAAUGAAUGGAUGAGUGAAUGAAGCAAAUGGUUAUCCAAGAUCUUAGAACUUUGAGUAUGAAUAACUUGUCAAAUAGGGAAUAGAAACUAGGCCUGGGAACCUGGAAAUGUUGUAGGAGCUGCCCACUGCACCUCUUCUUAUGAAGCCACCUCUCAAAGAGUCCAUGUUCUUAGUGAAUUGUUGGCUUUACAAAAAUAAAAGAAUCCACUUGCCUGAGACAAAAGAAUCACUUAGGAAACAUAUUUGUCUCCAGCAUGAAGCCAGAAGGGAUAAAACCAAGUCAUAAUCCCCUGAGAAUUUGCAACCACUGGCCUUUCCUCUUGCAUCUGGUGUUGAAUUUAUACUUCCUGAAUGGUCAGAGAAACAUUAAUCUAAAAUGAAAUUCAAAUGGUUCCAGUCUAAGACAUCCAGCAGAAUCAAAUACAGAUCCUCUUUGGUGGAAACCUUCUUAGAGUCAGGUCCUUCAGGUCGCCUACAGAUUAAAUUCAGCCAAAUAAGAGCUCAAAAUUUAAAAAUAUAUAGAUAUACAAAAAUCAUGAGGAAGCAGGCUUCCCUGAAUAAGAGUCAGAGGGAACAAUCCAAAAUAGAUUUAGACUCCAAAAGCUUCAGAUCCUGGGAUUAUCUGAAAUGAAGUAGAAAAUAACUAUGAAAAAUUUAAUUAAAAAUAAAAGAUCAGAUCAAAAAUGAACAAGAAAAAAUAGACUGUUACAUAUAGUCAGAUAGAUUUGAGAAAUAAGCAAAUAAAGAU